rfam:Ovis aries breed Texel chromosome 15, whole genome shotgun sequence.
UCCCUGGUGGCUAAGAUGGUAAAGAAUUUGCCUGUGAUGCAGGAGACCCAGGUUUGAUCCUGGGUCAGGAAG